UACGUAGGCAGCAAGCGUUGUUCGGAGUUACUGGGCGUAAAGGGUGCGUAGGUGGCUCUAUAAGUCUGGUGUGAAAUCUCCCAGCUCAACUGGGGGGGUGCGCCGAAUACUGAGAGGCUAGAGUGUGGGAGAGGAAAGUGGAAUUCCUGGUGUAGCGGUGAAAUGCGUAGAUAUCAGGAGGAACACCGGUGGUGUAAACGGCUUUCUGGACCAUAACUGACGCUGAGGCACGAAAGCGUGGGUAGCAAACAGG
rnacentral:rRNA from 1 species